rnacentral:sRNA from 1 species
AUGUUGAAGGCACCAAAACUAAUAUACGUACACGAUAGCGUACACCAGAAACUAUACGUACAUUGCGAGAGAAUUUAAACAAUAAAACAAGGCACGUACAUAAAACAAGAAAUU